rnacentral:lncRNA from 1 species
GGCCCAUUUUGCCCGGGCUUACUAGAGAAAACCCCAAAAAAAAACGAAAACAAAAAUAAAUUAAAAUAAAAAGCCGAAUAAAGUCUAAAAUUGAAGUAGCCCAAACAGUCCACUUACAACCUUUCAAUAAACACCAAACUAGCCCAAAAAAUAAAAAACACAAAUUCAACCCAAUUACAUUUGGCGCAAUGCCCGAAUAGCCUAAACGUAUACUGAGGACCAAGGACCAAUAUUCCUAGCCCGAUUUGCAAAAGGGCCCAAACCCAAAAGAACCUAAAAAAAGAAUUUCAGCAGCCAAGAGCUCCAGAAGCUCCUGGAAUACACUGGAAUGGCACCAGAGGGUCGGCUUCCCACGUGAGAUCCCCACACACGGCCUCCACGCCAUCUGGGUCAUCUCCUCCGUACAACUGAACCUGCAAAAGAACACACGAGAAGGAGCAGAUAACAGAAUACAGCAAGGAUUUGAUUUUUAUUUAUUUAUUUAUUUUCAUUUUUUGGCUAUAAAAAGGCCACUGGAUGGACUAUGUAAUCUUCCGCAGACACAUACACUAUGCGCAGAUUGAAUAUAAAAAAUUCGAAAAUAAUUUCUGAAAAGGUGAUCUUCUUUAGUCUUUUUAAUUUUUCUGUUAUUUUUAUCUAUUUUCCUGCCAUUGUUUUCAUCAUCUGCAUUUUAAAACAAAGAGGAGGGAAAGGCAAAUCUUACCUUGCGAAUCGGCCAUUGACCUUUGUUCACUUCGUUGAGAUCGAAGUUGGAAGGGGGAUCCAAAGGCGUCAUCCAUCAAUCAUGGUGUUGCAAGUGUACAUGAAACAACGCCAAUGAAAUCCCAAAUAUCUGUGAAAUACUGAGAUACAGGCGAGGGUCGGAUGGUAUUAAAUGUGUUUGUUUUCAUCUUUGGCUUCAUCUUUCUUGAAUGAAUGAUAUUAGAUCUAAGAGUUUUUUUUAAAAGAAAAUAGAAUGGCUUACCUGUUCUCCUUGAGCAUGGCCUUUGACAGCUUCUAGGUGCUGCUAGUGCACCAUCGAUCACCAAAAGAAAUGGUGGAUUCGGCAGUCGUUGGAAUGAGCCCAACAAAUUGAUUUUAGGGCUGUAAAUUUUUUGGUUAAAAUGGUGGUUGUGUUUGGGAAAGGAAAUAGGGAAAAACGGUUUUAAGUAACCUGUUAAUAAAACGGUGCCGUUUAGUGCAAGGAGAUCCGCGCGUCAACCCAGUCCCAGACCCGGAUCCGCGCCUCCAUGCUUCUAAUGGGAAAUUUCUGCGAUUAAUCCCUCCUUUUUAUGCCGCAUUUCAGUUAACCCCUAUUAGCAUCUUAUUUGUUUUUUUUUAAAUUUUCCUCAAAAUUUCAUGAGCUAUUUCAUUUUAAUCCACGCCUGAAUGCUGCGUUUUGGGGGUCUAGAAUAUUUCCAGAUUCAGUCCCUGUACAUUUUGGCGUAUUGCACAUAGGUCCUCAUUUUCUUAUCAGCAGUUCAUUUUAUUUGUAAAUUAUCUUUCUUAUUUUAAUUUGACUUCAAUUAGGUUUUUUUUAGAUUCAUUUCAUGUUUUUUUUUAAAUUCAUGUUUAUUUAUUUGUAUUAAUUGUAUCAUUUGCAUCAUUUGUUUAUUUAUUGUAAUUUGGGUAAUUGUAUUUUCACAUAUUGUAUACUAUUGUAUGUAAAUGUUUUUAUACAUUAUUAUACAUAUAUAUAUACUUUAUAAUAAAAUUAGUUUUAUUCUAUGAAUAUUAUUAACAUUAUAUUAUUUCAUACAUAUAACUGUUAUUGGAUUUAUUUACAUAUUUAUAUAUAUGUAUUUGUUGUUUAAAAGAAAAUCACAUGUUUAUUACAUUAUUUAAAUUAUAAUUAUACAUAUACAAAAACAUUGGUACAUAUAUUUAAUCUAUAUACAUUACUAAAUACUAGUAUUUUAUACAUAUAGUUUUCUGUAACGCCCCGAUUUUUGGGCCUAAAAGUACUAGGCCUUGAAUCUGGGUUCGGGUAAGAGACGACCCGAAUAAAUGGGAUGAUUUAAUUUAUUAUUAUUACUAUUAUUAGAUAGGAAUAUAUAUAUAUAAAAGUAUUGUUGUUUUUGUGUUUAAACUCUAGGAAAAAAAUUGUUUUAAUUUUUGCCUCAUAGAAGGAAUCUAGGCAUAAGGGUUAUAGAAUAAAUUGGGCAAGAUUGGGCAUGAAGAAGUGUACCUGGCCCAGUGGUUAGCAUGCUAGGUAGUUGGAAGGAGAGCUGGGGCUCGACUCCCAGCAUGUGCGAAAGUGUUUUAUUUUUUCUUUAUAUCAGGGAACGACGCAGGAAAGCCUUAUAUAUAGUUGGGGUUAAAAGGUAAAUCAAAGGGAAACUCGGUCCAGUGGCAGAGGUGCUGGGAGUGUGUUAUAGUGCCUAGGUUCAAGGGUUGGUGCACGCAAAGGCUUGUUUUUAUUUUAGAAGCCAGGUCGUACUAAAUUAAGGUUUAAGAGUAGUUGCGACCGAGUUAUGCUACAAGGACGCUUGUAGCACAGUGGCUGUAGGGUGCUAGGAUUUCCACAAGGGUACAAGUUUGAGUUGCGUGGAAGGCGAAAUUCCCCAUUUAUUUUUAAGCGGACCAAAGCUUCAGCAGUUAAGGUUUAUAAUUAAUUGUAACCACAUAUUAGUAAAGGAGAAAACGUGCUGCAGUGGCCAGCAGCUUAGGCGAAGGAGCAAGGGCAUAAGGCAGAUGAAGGUUUGGGGUUCGAGUCUUACCUUGCGCAUAGGAGGCUUUGGUUUCAAAUAACUUUUCUUUUCUUUCAUCUUUUCUUUUUCCCUCAUAGCCGAACCCAUACUUUACUCUCUCUGUCUCUUCUCUUAUUUUCUUUCUUCAUUAUAUCUCAAAUAGCCGAAUUUUAACAUAGCCGAAUCUCUACUCUUUUCUUCCUUAAAAAGUCGAAAACCUUCAUACUUGUAGUAUAGAAAGACGAACCUUUGGCUACUUGAAUCUACUUCUUCUCGUAACAACGGUGGAUUAGAGUUAAGAUUAUAGAUAGGAGCACUUUUUUGGGCCGAACAACGAUUGGUAAGUUUUUCGAAUAACUUUCGUUAAUUAUUUAUGAUUUAAGAUAAAAGCCGAAACCCCUUAAGGGUGGCUAACGUUUGGACUAAGGGUGUUGGCGCCUCUUUCUUUUUCAUUGUGUAAGCGUUAGCGUGGAAAAGGGGGCGUGCUGUGGAGGGUUUGAAGAUUGAUUCGGAUUGGAUCUCUAGAUCUAGUCCAUAUUUCGGCAGAAAGGUAAGAACUUUAGGGUCGAAGGCAAUGUUGGCCAAGUAUGGUAAGGGGACUAGUACGUAGUUGUUUUUGAUAUGUAGACUGACGUUUAGUAACUCGAUUGUAGGCAACAUGUGUGUGGAUCUCGCCAGCGUAUCGUUACAGAUCAGGUGUGUAAACGACACCCACUCAUAGACUAGAUCGGCAAAAGCCGAAAAGUCGAAAUGCCGAAAAUUCAGUAUUUGUGAACUUGCGAGCGUGCGAGCGCUCGUGAGGUGGUUUGUUUGUUAAUUUUGGUAAUCAUAAGCGGUAAAAGUUUAGAGUGCGCAAUUUCGUGCACUUCGGUAUAUUUGGGCUUAAUGGGCCGAAAAUGGGGUAAUGGGCCAACGGGCCCAAUUUGGUAAAAACGCUCGGUAAGUGUUUCUGUUAAUGCGUUAAUGGUUAUAAUAUGUGUGUAAACUCUAGAAUAGUAAAUUUUACUAAAAUACCCCUAAGUAUGAAAAUUAUCAUUUUACUCUUAGGUGCAAAAUAACCGUUAUACCCCUAGGGUUAAUUUUGACUGAAAUGUAUGAUAUUCUGAUUCUGUUUGUUGUAUGCCAUGACAUGUAUAUCUGUUGCAUGGGAUCUGGGUUAUGUUAUGGAGGAAGAACCCGUUCUGGUGGCUGUGCCACAUAUUCUGAUAUAAGCAGCUUUGCUGUGGAUUAUAAUUAGUGCCGCAACCGGUGCUAACACUGUAAGUGUAGGGAUGGCGUGGGUGAUUUAUUCCCCACAGGAAGCGUAGGGAUGGACGGAGGCAAGUGCAGGGUUGGAUGGGGUUAUCAUGCAUUAAUCAUAUGAGACUGUUUUGUUAUGGGCCAACUGUAUUGAGAUGGGCCCAACUGUGUUAAUAUGGGCAAGGCCCAACAUAUCUCGACUUGUAAUAAGGCUACGACCCAGAUUGACACUGAUAUGGGCUAGGCCCAGUAUACUCUGAUAUUGUAAAGGGCUAUGGCCUAGAUUAAUAUUGAUAUGGGCUAAGGCCCAGUUAACUCUGAUUUCUGAAUAGGGCUUAGGCCCAGUAAAGUUUGAACUGAUUUAGACUCUAGUUGGGUUUACUUUACACACUGAGUUUUCCAAACUCACCGCCUUUUUCCCGUCUUUGCAGGUGAGCCUUAGAUCGGUGGACUUGGAGCUGGAGGGAUUCAGAGUGGCCAUGUGGACUGUUUAAAAUAAGUGUUUAUACCGUCACUUUUAUUUUGGAUUAUUUCCUUUAUGUUUUUGGGUUUUUAAUUUGUAAUAAGGCCGCUUUAAUUAUUUUUAAUUGUUUUUAGUAUGUUUUGUUAGCUUAGAUAUGAUAUUGUUUCAAUUGUUUGAAAUUGAAUAGCUCUAAGGCGCGUUUUAAAAAGGUUACAUGAUUUCAAAAUAUCACGAUAACAAAACAAAACUUCUGCAACGAAAACGUUUUCAAAAUUAAUGACCUUUUCAAAUGGUUUUAAACGAAUUGGUUUUCCCUGAACAAUCACACAGUUAAAGUGUGGCAAUAGUUGUGUCCAUGUCUAGGAUUGGAUCCGUGAAGAGCAAGGUACUUAAGCAGUCUAAUUGACUCACCUCCUCUUUUCUGGCAUCCUACCUGGUGCACAACUUCCAUUCAUUUUAAUCUUUAACGAAGAUAUUCUUUAAACAUUAAGAAAGACUUUAGAUAAAACAUGACUUUUCUAGUAACGCUUCAAUGUGACAUGCUGGAUUCGGUCAUAACGUCUAGGCCGAGUUUGGGGUGUUACAUUUUCUUUAUAUAUAUAAGUAUGUUUUUAAAUCUAUUAUAUAUAUAAUUUAUAAUAAAAUUAAUUUAAUCUUAAGUACAUUAUUAAGUAUAUGCUCUUUUUACAAAAAACUAUUUCUUAAUCUAUUUAUGCAUAUGUUUUGUAAUUUUAUUGUGUGUAUUUCUUAGAAUUAUAUCUUAUUAUGUAUUUUUAUUACUCUUUCACAUUUUAUAUAUUAUUUAAGUUAUCCUGUACAUUGUCAAUUUUAAAAUGAAUUUACGUUUAAAAUAUUUUACAUAUAAUUUAAUUCAAACUCUUAUUCUACAAUAUUUGUUUCCAUAAUUAUAUAUCCCCAGUUUUUAUGCAAAUUUGUCAACUUACAUAUUAUAUAUAUUAUGUGUUCAUUAAUUCAUUAUUAUUUUGAAAAUGUCUUAUACCAUAUUGACUUCUAACUCCAUUUUAUUUGGUUCAUGUCCUGUGGAUCAUUUUAUAUUGAGCUAAUUAUUGUUGAUGUAUAUCAUUUAAUCAUUGUUUUAUUCAUUAUAUUAAUUUUUCUCCAUCCAUGAUUAAGAAUCUGGCUACAUUUUACUUAGAAUAGUUGUACAUAAUUGUUGCAUUUAUUAAUUGUGGUUUAUUGUACUAUAUGUGUGCAUAUUAUUUCAUGUUUAUUAAUCCUUUUCUAUACAAAUGUUUAAUUAUAAUACAUUAAGCAUUCCAUCUAUUUUAAGACAAAUAAAUUUGUUUUGAGCUAAUUUUCAAUUUUCCUUAUUAUUCAAAAAUUUUGAAAUAAGACAAUAUUCAAU